rnacentral:rRNA from 1 species
CAAUAGCGUAUAUUAAAGUUGUUGCGGUUAAAAAGCUCGUAGUUGGAUUUCUGUGGUAGGCAGCCGGUCCACACUAUGUGUGAGUAUCUGGUUCGGCUACUGCAUCCUCCUGAGGAACGUUGGUGCGCUUCACUGCGUGGCACGGUAUUCAGGACUUUUACUUUGAGGAAAUUAGAGUGUUCACGGCAGGCGUUUGCCCUGAAUAUAUUAGCAUGGAAUAAUGAUAUAGGGUCCACGUCCUAUUUUGUUGGUUUCUAGGACGAGGAUAAUGAUUAAUAGGGAUAAUUGGGGGCAUUCGUAUUAACACGUCAGAGGUGGAAUUCUUGGAUUGUGUUACGACGAACUACUGCGAAAGCAUUUGCCAAGGAUGUUUUCAUUGA